rnacentral:lncRNA from 1 species
CUGGAGACCGGGUGGUCAGAUGCUGCCCCAUGGGCUUCUGGGGGCACCAGAGAAAGGAGAGGGAGCAUGUGGGUCUCAUGAGUGGCAGGGCCAGGACCUUUCUGACCCCACUCCUCCUGCUGCUAGAGCCCAAGUUCGUCAAGGUCUUUUGGAUCCCAGAGAGCGAGAAUCCUGAUGAUGACAAGAUCUACUUCUUCUUCCGUGAGUCGGCAGUGGAGGCUUCGCCAUCACUGGGACGCCAGACUGUGUCCCGGGUUGGCCAGAUCUGUCGGGUGAGGAGUCCUUGGGCCACAUCCGAUGACUACAUCCCUGCCCUUUUGCCUGUCUGGGCCUCCCCCUCAUCCCUGCUGAUUGACCCUGCAGAAUGACGUGGGAGGCCAGCGAAGCCUUGUCAACAAGUGGACCACGUUCCUGAAGGCGCGUCUGGUGUGCUCAGUGCCAGGUGUCGAGGGUGACACACACUUCGACCACCUCCGUGAGUGCCAGGAGCAGAGGAUGGGGUUGGAGAGAGGGAGUGCAGGGGGCCAGACCCAGGAGCCGGGCUGCCCAGAGGGCUGUGUGCCCUCCCCCAACUAGGCUUCUUCCCCACAGAGGACAUGUUCCUGCUGUCCUUGAGGGACCGCUGGAGCCCACUGCUCUACGCUGUCUUCUCCACAUCAAGGUGAGGGGCAGAAGGUAGAGGGCAGGGCCCAAAGGGCUCUUCUGGGCCCCUCAGUCUGCUCAUGUCUUCGCCUGCAGCACCAUCUUCCAGGGCUCUGCAGUGUGUGUGUACAGCAUGAACGACGUGCGCCGGGCCUUCCUGGGGCCCUUUGCACACAAGGAAGGGCCCAUGCACCAGUGGGUGUCCUACCAGGGCCGUGUCCCCUACCCCCGGCCUGGCAUGGUGCGUAGCCCCAGGAGUCCCACCACAACCCACUUAAAGUCUCAGGGGUGGAAAACUUGGCCUGGGAUCUUCUUGGUGAAUGUGUUUUUUUCCUUCCGUUAUGGGUGGGAAAACAUCACCUUUGUCAGACAGGGCUCCUCAGAGGAAGGGCAUAUUUCCCCCUAAGAGUCCCAAGGGCAAGUCUGGGUCUUCUCUCUUCAGAUUCUCAGGGCAG